rnacentral:rRNA from 2 species
AACGGCAGCACGGGUGCUUGCACCUGGUGGCGAGUGGCGAACGGGUGAGUAAUACAUCGGAACGUGUCCUGUAGUGGGGGAUAGCCCGGCGAAAGCCGGAUUAAUACCGCAUACGAUCUACGGAUGAAAGCGGGGGAUCUUCGGACCUCGCGCUAUAGGGGCGGCCGAUGGCGGAUUAGCUAGUUGGUGAGGUAAAGGCUCACCAAGGCGACGAUCCGUAGCUGGUCUGAGAGGACGACCAGCCACACUGGGACUGAGACACGGCCCAGACUCCUACGGGAGGCAGCAGUGGGGAAUUUUGGACAAUGGGCGAAAGCCUGAUCCAGCAAUGCCGCGUGUGUGAAGAAGGCCUUCGGGUUGUAAAGCACUUUUGUCCGGAAAGAAAUCCCUGGUCCUAAUAUGGCCGGGGGAUGACGGUACCGGAAGAAUAAGCACCGGCUAACUACGUGCCAGCAGCCGCGGUAAUACGUAGGGUGCAAGCGUUAAUCGGAAUUACUGGGCGUAAAGCGUGCGCAGGCGGUGAUGUAAGACCGAUGUGAAAUCCCCGGGCUCAACCUGGGAACUGCAUUGGUGACUGCAUCGCUUGAGUAUGGCAGAGGGGGGUAGAAUUCCACGUGUAGCAGUGAAAUGCGUAGAGAUGUGGAGGAAUACCGAUGGCGAAGGCAGCCCCCUGGGUCAAUACUGACGCUCAUGCACGAAAGCGUGGGGAGCAAACAGGAUUAGAUACCCUGGUAGUCCACGCCCUAAACGAUGUCAACUGGUUGUCGGGUCUUCAUUGACUUGGUAACGUAGCUAACGCGUGAAGUUGACCGCCUGGGGAGUACGGUCGCAAGAUUAAAACUCAAAGGAAUUGACGGGGACCCGCACAAGCGGUGGAUGAUGUGGAUUAAUUCGAUGCAACGCGAAAAACCUUACCUACCCUUGACAUGUACGGAAUUCCGCUGAGAGGUGGAAGUGCCCGAAAGGGAGCCGUAACACAGGUGCUG